CGGUAAAAGGACUCCGUUACAACUCUGCAUAUUAACUGUCUAUUUUUAUUUAUUUUGUUUUUUAAGUUUUCACACUUAGGGUUAUACCACACGUAUCAACUCUGAAAAAGAUCAUCACCGUAGUAUUUAGAGCCAUCACGGCCAGUCGAUUAUUUUACGAUUCUGAUUAGUGUGUGCUGCAGUAAGGACUUUAUACAAAGAAUAUUAAACGGCUGAAGAAGUGACUAUCCUUUCCGAGUUUACUAUGCUCUAACUCUUUACACUUAAAAGUCGUCGUCAACAAGGCGACAGUCUAAAUAUAAAGACUUCGAGUAAAUUUAGGCGAGCUGAUUUAAGCAAAAACCUUUCGGAGUUCAUGUAGUGCACACUUAUGAACUCUGUAAUUUAUCAUAAAGGCGUUUUACGAGUUCUUAUAUUUAUCGCGUUGUUGAUGACGACGCGAAAGACGAUACUAUGAUGAUACCUCUCCGACUUCAUGUGACUGAAGUGACUUUUUACGUUAAGGCUAUCGUCAGGUAGACGACGAAGCAAAAUCCCUUUCAGAGUUGUUGUGUGCCAUGACCUUAAAACUACAAUUUUUUUUUUUUAAAUAUGUUGACUUGACCUCAUUUGAACGAGAGUUAAAAAGCGUAAGCAUUCAUUCGCACGAGAGGUUUUUUUUAAAAUGCAACACUGCUCGUUAAAAAAGCGUCGUGUAACGCUGUCUCGUGCACAUAAUAUAUAAUAUAUUUGUUGUAUUUUAACGUCCAUUAAAAAACCUUACGUACGAAUGAGAUCUUAAUGAUUUAGGGAAUCCAAAAUCCAAUAUUUCUUUGUUUGUUUCAGGUACAUCCGAUGGCCUACGGGUGCACAUUGUUCAUAUCCGUCAGUUACCUGUUGGUCACGAUAUGGAUCAUGGUGGCACUGUUCUUCGCAGCCAGUAUUAUUCUGUUCUGCGGUCUAAUGAAGGAUGACGCUGUUCUCUGCGCGAUCUGGAUAUGGUACGCGCUGAUAUUCGUGAUGGCAAUGCUUGUGAUGAUGACUCUCCUCGCCAUCGUGUUCACCUCCAGGCACCAGCGGCCCAGAGUCAUCAUUGUCAUACUUGGCAUGCUCUGGUACAUUUGUAAGUUGUCUACCAUUUCUUAAACACAAACUAGGCCACGCAUAGUAUCUUAUCUUUGAAAGCUAGUUAUUAUAUCUGCCAUAAUAGACUUUCUUAGUAAAUCUAUAAAAGGAGGAUAUCCCAUUAUGCGUGUUUUUGUUGUCUCCGAGUAUAAAUUAAGAGUAUGCUAAUAGUAAAGCAAUUUUGUAAAAGUAACAGGUAUCUGCGAUCAUUACUUUCGGAGCUACAGGGAUUUAAAGGGUCAGAUUUGCGGCACUCCCACGUAUCCCUGAAAAAAGCCCCAUACAAAAUGGUACGAAUUAAUGACGUCGUAUGUACAUAAUGAUCGUUAGAUCUGUAUGGGCGUUCAAACAAAAUUACUAAUAUUGUUAUUAUUUGUGCGUUUAUGAUUAUAAUUCAUGUAUUAAAAAAUGUCACAUUUAAUGUAAAGAAACUAAAGCGGUAUGAAUUUUCAACUAUUUACGAUAAAAGAUUUUUAAUAGA